rnacentral:rRNA from 1 species
CCUACGGGAGGCAGCAGUGAGGAAUAUUGGUCAAUGGGCGCGAGCCUGAACCAGCCAAGUCGCGUGAGGGAAGACGGUCCUAUGGAUUGUAAACCUCUUUUGUCGGGGAGCAAAAGACGCCACGCGUGGCGUUCCGAGAGUACCCGAAGAAAAAGCAUCGGCAAACUCCGUGCCCGCAGCCGCGGUAAUACGGAGGAUGCGAGCGUUAUCCGGAUUUAUUGGGUUUAAAGGGUGAGCAGGCGGAAGAUCAAGUCAGCGGUAAAAUUGAGAGGCUCAACCUCUUCGAGCCGUUGAAACUGGUUUUCUUGAGUGAGCGAGAAGUAUGCGGAAUGCGUGGUGUAGCGGUGAAAUGCAUAGAUAUCACGCAGAACUCCGAUUGCGAAGGCAGCAUACCGGCGCUCAACUGACGCUCAUGCACGAAAGUGUGGGUAUCGAACAGGAUUAGAUACCCCGGUAGUC